rnacentral:lncRNA from 1 species
AUCUGAUUCACAAACCCAUGCUCCUCCUUCUGACAUUUUUAGGCAAAUAUAGAGGGAAGGAAGGAAUCUUUGUUUUUUGGACAGUGAGUGAAGAUCAGAGCACUUAAGCUACUUGCCAAAGAUUACAUGGAGACCCAGAUUUCCAUAGAGCAAAUCCCAGUGUUUGUGGACAUUUGAAGGGUUGACGUGUAGAAGGCGAUAGGUGGAAUAUCUUGCUCGAGCAGCAAGCCAGGACCAGUGUCCUGAAGUAGGUCAGCUUGGGCUAAAGAUUUUCAUGAGGCAAUCUUUGUCAUGAGGCUGUGCAAUACAGAAUGGGAUGGCAGAGUGUUUCCUGCUAGGAUAGAGGAGGCUGGAGGUUUAUGGUCCAGAGUUAAUUAUGGAGGUCCCAGGGGGCCGUCAGGGCUCUGGUUCCUGCAGGCUGUUCUCUCCAUGGACCCUCAGAUGUCACCUUUGUCUUUAUAGUACAAAAAGGACUUCUGCCAUCUCAUCUUUGUGCCAGGCAGUGGGAAGGAAAACAGUGUGACUUCUUCUUCCAGGA